rnacentral:rRNA from 1 species
GACGAACGCUGGCGGCGUGCUUAACACAUGCAAGUCGAACGGGAUUUAGUAAACAGCCACCUCGGUGGAAGAUUACUAAUGAGAGUGGCGAACGGGUGAGUAACGCGUGAGCAACCUGCCUAUGACAGUGGGAUAGCCUCGGGAAACCGGGAUUAAUACCGCAUAAAAUCGUAGAAACACAUGUUUUAACGGUCAAAGAUUUAUCGGUCAUAGAUGGGCUCGCGUCUGAUUAGCUAGUUGGUGAGAUAACAGCCCACCAAGGCGACGAUCAGUAGCCGGUCUGAGAGGAUGAACGGCCACAUUGGAACUGAGACACGGUCCAAACUCCUACGGGAGGCAGCAGUGGGGAAUAUUGCACAAUGGGGGAAACCCUGAUGCAGCGACGCCGCGUGAACGAAGAAGGUAUUCGUAUCGUAAAGUUCUGUCCUAUGGGAAGAUAAUGACAGUACCAUAGAAGAAAGCUCCGGCUAAAUACGUG